GACGAACGCUGGCGGCGUGCUUAACACAUGCAAGUCGAACGAAGUGGCGAACGGGUGAGUAACGCGUAAUCAACCUGCCCUUCAGAGGGGGACAACAGUUGGAAACGACUGCUAAUACCGCAUACUGAAGGAGGGGAUUGCGUCUGAUUAGCUAGUUGGAGGGGUAACGGCCCACCAAGGCGAUGAUCAGUAGCCGGUUGGUGUGGAUGAACGGCCCCAACGGGACUGAGGAACGGCUCAGACUUCUAAGGGAGGCAGCAGUGGGGAAUCUUCCGCAAUGGACGAAAGUCUGACGGAGCAAAGCCGCGGGAGUGAUGACGGCCUUCGGGUUGUAAAGCUCUGUUAAUCGGGACGUGGUACCGGAAUAGAAAGCCACGGCUAACUACGUGCCAGCCGCCGCGGUAAUAC
rnacentral:rRNA from 1 species